rnacentral:misc_RNA from 1 species
UUGACUUAUUGUAUAAGUUACUCAGAGAGGCCAAUGAUGACUAAGAGUUACGGUCCUCUGACGGGUUGCCGGGCCCGGGGUGGGGCCCGGCGCGGCCCCCGGAGAGGGGCCACCCGCCGAAGCAACGGUGAGGUAGGUUCACAAUGGUUGGGAGUUUUGCAACUCUGUAAUGAUCCCUCCGCUGGUUCACCAACGGAGA